UUUAUUUCUAAUUAAGUUGCUUACAAUUCACUUAAUAAAUAUAAAAUGUCGAAGAGUCUUGGUUUCAUCAUCUUGGCUUUGCUUGUAGUGGCAAACACUAAAAGCACACUUAUUACAGCCAGUCGUUUUAGCCAAGGAUAUCACACAGAUGCUUCAUUUUCUAAUAAUCCUGCAGUAUCACCUGAAAUUGUUGAUUGCUCAGGGCUUACAAGGGAAGAGUGUUUGAUCGAGAAGUUAAAGAACGCUCUCGCAGACUAUAAAUACUACUGUCCCCCGGGGGGAUGCAAAUGAUUUUGAUAAUUAGCUAUUUCUUUUGUCUUUUAUGAGUGAUGUUGCAAUAAUGAUUAAUUGUACUGAAAUUGAAACUGUGUUUUAAUAAAUGAAGAAAUUAAUUCAUUAUGAGGA
rnacentral:lncRNA from 1 species